rnacentral:misc_RNA from 1 species
GUUAUUGCAUCUCCUUUGCUAAGGUGCUGAAGCCGGCAUCUGGUGCUCCUGUUGAUAGCAUUUUUUUGAUAAAUUUUAACAUGUCAAUCGUUAACAAUGUGUUGUUUUCUGUUUGUUUUAUGACUAGCAAUAAAUUCAACAUUUUUUUUACAUUGAAGUCUAGAAAUUUUUUGUUGUGGAUAGGAAGAAAGAGUCUUUUUGUUUUCAGUUAUGAGAAAAUGUUCAUCUAGAAAUUUGUUCUCUUCUGCAUUUGAGAUGCUUAUAUAGUUAAUUGGUUUGGAAAGUUACAUGCUUAAUGACAAAUGUCAUUUGUUUGGUCAACUUGUUCUCACAUUCAUGUUCUUAAUUUUGUUGAGCUUCUAAUGUUUAAUGAGAUUUAUGGACAUUUUCAUGGUUGUAUCCAACUAGAAAGGAAUAAACACCUCUGGUUAAUACUUGUAUCCCUCCUAGAGGAAUACACGAUAUUGAUGCCAUUGUUAUUUAAUGCAGACGCAUGCACAAACAGCAUUCUCAAAGAAACUUGUUGAUCAUUCUCUUGUAAUUUAUCUGUCUCUAAAAUUUCAGCCAUUUUGAUGAUAGAAUGAAGUAUCUGUACUGCACUGUUAGAGUUAGUUGUUUACAACUUUACAUUGACUUCUUUUAGCUUAUGAGUAGCCCUCAUGAGCUAAUUUACUGCUUUUUUUCUGCUUGAUUUAUGUUUGCUUCUGAUAUUUUCCUCAGUUUAAUUAUAUCUCCAGAGUACAUAUGGUAUCUUUGUAUUUUUUUUUAUAAUCAUUCCAAACAGGGUCUCACAAACUUUGCUGGUUAUUGGAUUUUGCGGUCUCUUCUUGGUGUUGAAAAUUCAUUUUAUUUUGUUUGACCAAAAUUUCUGGAGUUCAAAUACAGUACAGGCCUUUUGUUUUUCCUAUCCCACUAAGAAAGAAGAGUUGACUACUGAGAAUAUUAAUUAUUGGCUGUGGUUUCAAUAACCUCAGCAAACUAGUAUCAACAGCUUUUUCAUUUGAGUAGUUUAAUUUUGCUUUGUAAAAGUUCUUACAUUCUUGGGUGGAGUUAAAAUAUUGGAGGUACUGUUUCUAGAGAUAAGUUAUUAUCAAGAAUCUGUUGCAAAAAUAGACUAUCUGCUAUUUCCAAAUUACAUAGAGACAAAUCUUAUAUUGGCUUAAGUGUAGGAAUAUAGGAUUUUUUUGUCCUUUUAGAAAAUUUGGUUGGUUCAUAUUGAUUCUGUGCCCUGAAAAAACGAAUGCUUUUGUAAGAUGUUCUUUCCUAAAGCAAUGAUAACUGUGACUUCUAGGACAUUGCAAACAGCUGUUGGA